rnacentral:rRNA from 1 species
CCCUUAGAUGUUCUGGGCCGCACGCGCGCUACACUGAAGGGAUCAGCGUGUUUUCCCUUCCCGAGAGGGACGGGUAACCCGCUGAACCCCCUUCGUGGUAGGGCUCGGAGCUUGCAAUUGUUCUCCGUGAACCAGGAAUUCCCAGUAAGCGCAAGUCAUAAGCUUGCGUUGAUUACGUCCCUGCCCUUUGUACACACCGCCCGUCGCUACUACCGAUUGAACGUUUUAGUGAGGUAUUUGGACUGGGCCUUGGGAGGUUUCGGCCUCCCUUGUUGCUCGGAAAGACUCCCAAACUUGAGCGUUUAGAGGAAGUAAAAGUCGUAACA